AACGCUAGCUACAGGCUUAACACAUGCAAGUCGAGGGGCAGCAUGGUCUUAGCUUGCUAAGGCCGAUGGCGACCGGCGCACGGGUGAGUAACACGUAUCCAACCUGCCGUCUACUCUUGGACAGCCUUCUGAAAGGAAGAUUAAUACAAGAUGGCAUCAUGAGUCCGCAUGUUCACAUGAUUAAAGGUAUUCCGGUAGACGAUGGGGAUGCGUUCCAUUAGAUAGUAGGCGGGGUAACGGCCCACCUAGUCUUCGAUGGAUAGGGGUUCUGAGAGGAAGGUCCCCCACAUUGGAACUGAGACACGGUCCAAACUCCUACGGGAGGCAGCAGUGAGGAAUAUUGGUCAAUGGGCGAGAGCCUGAACCAGCCAAGUAGCGUGAAGGAUGACUGCCCUAUGGGUUGUAAACUUCUUUUAUAAAGGAAUAAAGUCGGGUAUGGAUACCCGUUUGCAUGUACUUUAUGUAUAAGGAUCGGCUAACUCCGUGCCAGCAGCCGCGGUAAUACGGAGGAUCCGAGCGUUAUCCGGAUUUAUUGGGUUUAAGGGGAGCGUAGAUGGAUGUUUAAGUCAGUUGUGAAAGUUUGCGGCUCAACCGUAAAAUUGCAGUUGAUACUGGAUAUCUUGAGUGCAGUUGAGGCAGGCGGAAUUCGUGGUGUAGCGGUGAAAUGCUUAGAUAUCACGAAGAACUCCGAUUG
rnacentral:rRNA from 1 species